rnacentral:rRNA from 1 species
UACGUAGGGUGCAAGCGUUGUCCGGAAUUAUUGGGCGUAAAGAGCUCGUAGGCGGUUCGUCGCGUCGGCUGUGAAAACCCGGAGCUCAACUCCGGGCCUGCAGUCGAUACGGGCGGACUCGAGUUCGGCAGGGGAGACUGGAAUUCCUGGUGUAGCGGUGAAAUGCGCAGAUAUCAGGGGGAACACCGGUGGCGAAGGCGGGUCUCUGGGCCGAUACUGACGCUGAGGAGCGAAAGCGUGGGGAGCGAACAGG